AAUCGAGAGGCCUCUGGCGGCCAACACCAUUUUCAACAUCGGAAUAUUUUCUUUAUUUUUGUUCUCUUUGGCCACGGGAAGAGCAGGAUUAUGGAAAACAAGCAAACAACCGAAAGCAUCUUUGCCACGUUAAAGGCAGAGAGAGACUGUCGAAAGUCCCGCAGAAGCUGAGAUCCCGCAGAUCGAGAUCCCUCUCGUGGUAGCUCGGCGAGAAAGAGCUCGGGGCAAGGGCCCGAUGGAGAGCCGGAAAGGCGAGGACGAGCAAGAAGUGGAAGCGUGCAUUCAUGCCGGUUUGCAGUACUUUGGCAGAAUAGAAUAUUUUAUUAUUAAAAUAAAAACAACCCCCAAAACACACUAAGAGAUUUUUUUAAAUUCGUGUUUUAAAAAAAAAAAUCCAAAAAGUCUCUUCAAGGCAUUAAUCUUUUUUUCCUCUGGACAUCCUUUCAGGUUUUAUAAAGAGAAUAUCAGGGCAUAGCAAGCGAAACCACCAUAUUGACAAGCUGGAAAUCAAAUCCACAGAGAGACAAAUUAAAGGCUGAAAGUGAAUGCAAUCUGAAGUAUUUGGAUUCUACUACAUACCUUUCUGCAAUUUUCCUACAAAGUGAAUUGUAUUCCACAGAAGCAUAUGCUAGUUUCAUAUGCUUCUGUUGCUUCUGUUGUUGAUAAAGAUCUGUUGCUCUUUUAGAGUAACUGUAUGCCCUGCGAUCGUCUCUUUAUGACCAAACACAAUUGCCACUUUAGAAUCUGACAAAUUUUAUACUAAUUUAUGUACUUGGAACAUUUUCAGUCAUCAUUCUUGAAAACUGUGAUACUUUCAUCAGUUAUAAAUAAAUCUGUUUAAAAUA